ACUAAUAUACCUAGUAUAAAUACAGAAUACCGACUGCUACUCUCAAUAGUUUUUAUCUAAAAAUUUUGAUUUUAUAUAAUAUUUAUUUUAUUCAACUGUAGAUAGGUUGUUUCUAUAAUGUUAUAUUAAUUUGGUGUAUGAGGGGAGGGGCAGAUUCACUUUACAGUUUACAUUUGUUUUUUAAACCUAUUGGGCUCAAGCACUUUAUACUUGAUCAAUGGCAAUAGUGAAAAUAUUUUCAUCGACAUUUAUGAACUGUGUCAGAUGUCAAUGUUUGCUAUCCUAUAUUCCAAAUAAAAUUUUAAAUAGAUGAAUAUUUGAAAAUGUUGAUGUAGCUACUAACCAUAUGUACCUGUGAAGACCCUAGAUUAGUUUCAUGGAGCCGUAGGGCUCCGAGGAGCACAAUUUAAGAACUGCUGGUCUAUAAUAUUAUAUAAUUUUGGCCGUUUUGAGACUAUGCUAAUUAGAAAAAUAUGAAAUUUUAAAAUUACCGCCAAUAACUGAGUAUCUAAAUGUCGAGGGAGAUUAUAGCUAAUAUGGAAUCUAAAAUGUCUUUGAGGUUCUAAAUGUCCAAUGGGAUCUAGUUGACGUACGUGGAUCUACUUGUCACGGGAUCUAGGUGGUACGUAACCCACAGAGUAAUAAGAAUAUAGAGAUGGCAAUGUGAAAUUAUCAUGAGGCUCAAGCGGACACGAUGCAGUGUGACCAUUAUAGAUAAAAAUAAUUAUGAAAUAAUUCUAUUAAGCAUGUACAAUAUGAAUUGGCUGUGUUCUCGGGAAAGGAACUUUGCAAACAGGACAACGCUGUAUACGUUCUGCACAUCUGUCACAGCACCACCCAUGGCCACAUGGUAGAAAAAUAUUUUCUGUGCCAACCACGUCAUGGUUUUCUAAACAAACAAAACAUCGAUUUUGGUCUUCACCUACACAAUAAAACAAAACAGUACCUCCAAUUGGUGGAACAGUAACCAUAAAUAACGCUGGUACUUCUGUAAAAAUUGAAUAGAAUAUUAAUUUUUAAUUUUUGAUUUUUAUAUAUUUAUCAUAUAAAUAACUAUUAAUUAUUUAAUUACCAUUU